CCCAUAAAGAUUAUUUUGAUACAAUUACCCUCUGGUGACACCUACUGGUAGGUUUUUGGUUUAACACUUUAAACAAAAAGUUUUUUCAUCCACCAAAUGCCGACUAAUAAAAUUAGCUCACCCCCUUACACCUAUCUUACUACUCCUAGACUGGAACCUAUUAUUGAGCAGCCUUGCCGAAGUCCCAUAUUAGAUACUGUUUGAGUCAAAUAGAUUGUACACUCCUUUCAAUCCUGAAG